rnacentral:rRNA from 1 species
CCUACGGGAGGCAGCAGUGGGGAAUAUUGGACAAUGGGCGCAAGCCUGAUCCAGCCAUGCCGCGUGUGUGAAGAAGGCCUUAGGGUUGUAAAGCACUUUCAGGGGUGAGGAAGGGUGAUAGCUUAAUACGUUAUCAUCUUGACGUUAGCCCCAGAAGAAGCACCGGCUAACUCUGUGCCAGCAGCCGCGGUAAUACAGAGGGUGCAAGCGUUAAUCGGAAUUACUGGGCGUAAAGCGCGCGUAGGUGGUUUGUUAAGUCGGAUGUGAAAUCCCAGGGCUCAACCUUGGAAUGGCACCCGAUACUGGCUAGCUAGAGUAUGGUAGAGGGGUGUGGAAUUUCUUGUGUAGCGGUGAAAUGCGUAKAUAUAGGAAGGAACAUCAGUGGCGAAGGCGACACCCUGGACUAAUACUGACACUGAGGUGCGAAAGCGUGGGGAGCAAACAGGAUUAKAUACCCUGGUAGUCCACGCCGUAAACGAUGUCUACUAGCCGUUGGGUUGUAAUGACUUAGUGGCGCAGCUAACGCAAUAAGUAKACCGCCUGAGGAGUACGGCCGCAAGGUUAAAACUCAAAGGAAUUGACGGGG